rnacentral:SRP_RNA from 1 species
GCUGAGCUCAGUCACGAGAGCUUGUAACCCAUGUGGGGGCGUCUAAGGUGGUGUGGAUGUUUGGUGUGGACUGUGGGCCUGGGCUUGUGUUGUAACAUUGCCGGCCUGCCCGUUCCAAGUUGGUAGUGGGCUGGGUGACCUGGGCGAAAGCUCCGGUCUCUCAGGCCCUGAAGCGGCAGGCACCACGUUAGGCUGGUUUCACAGAGCAGCGUUCACUGCCCGCUUCCAACGGUGGAAGGAUAACAGACCGCUGCACCAUGGGCCCGCUCUGGCACAUGGUCCCUCUAUAACAGACCAUCAUCUUU